CGUGACUUUUACGGUUACGCGUACAGACAAUAUGGCGGCCUAAAAACCUCGCUUCACACGUGUUUUUCAGGUAAUUCUUUAUUAUAUCCCUUUUACUUACAUACGAGACCUGUUGCAGCCUACGCGGAAUAAAGAAUUGUUGCCGCCUAUACCUUAUUUUCAACCCCUGUGCUCAUAGCUUUUACAAACACUCAAAAAUUCAACAGGAAUUUUCAAUGUUGACAAUUAUUUUUCAGGUAACUUUCACGCAAUCUUUGUAUUUUUUAUUAAUUUGAUUAAACUACGCCUAGUUAGCAAAGAGAAAAUGUUCAUAGAAUUUCUUUAUUUGAAAAUGUAAAUAUUAGGCAUGUUAAAUGUUGACUAGUCAUUUUCAAUUCCAAUACACGAGGGAAAAAUGAUUUGGGUAACGGCCACGCAAACUUUUAUUGUUGAUAACUCCCACGCAAUAUUUUAUGUGCAAGCAAUAUCUAUGCAGGCUAUAGCCUAGAUAUUUAUUUAACAAAAUCAUGAUCGAUGUAUUUAGCCUUAAACGUUCAUAGAAUUUUGAAUAAUAUUUAAAAUACCGCCAAAAGGUCCUUGAUAGAAUUAAGCGCCUAUGGGUAGCAGAAUACAUACUCACGUAAUUAUAUUAAAUGAAGUUUCGAUAUAGAGAUAUAGAUGAAUUAAUCGCAGAAAUUAAAAUAAAAGUCUCAAAUAUAAGAAGGAGGUCGAUUUCAGUUUAAGCACAAUUACAUGUACAGUUGUCAUUUUUCAUAGUUUGCAGAUAUGGACGGUUGCAGCUCGGAUAUUGUUUGUGGAUAAUGUUGGAAAACAUUUCGUUCAUGGACAGGUCUUAAUGACCACUUAAACUGGCUACUCGGCACAGGACCUUGUAAACGUUGUGGCAAAUCGAACUGUCACAGCUCUGCUGACCCCUAAAAAGGGCCAAUUGGAAUGACAUGUGCAAAUUCAAGUGUGACUGUCACAAGGAUGCUACAGACCAAAUUUGAAGUGAAUCUGCUUAGUAUUAGAAAAGAAGACGAUUGUUGACGCAUGACGACGGACGAUCGACGCCGGAGCAUCCCCCUUUGAUACUAAGAGCUCACCCUGCGUAGAAUAUGUCUUUUUUUACAAACUAGAUCCUGGUCCUGGCUGAAAUUGAGAGUAUUGCAGCUGUAGCUUGUAUACCAUACAUUUAACAUGAAAAGGACUGUCAGGAUGCUGCAUACAAUGGUCUUAGCUAGAGCCUAGAAUGAAUAUUUCUUAGGAAUAUGCUGCAAGAAACUGAAGGGGAGCAGUUUUUCUUACCAAUCAUAGGUGAGACUUUUAAAUAGCUUCUUUUAAAAAAGUUUUUGUUGUUUUAUGUACAUAAUUUGCUGUCAAUAUGAAACUUCAGCUGUAUCUUAAUUUCUAUGCUGUUUUAUUAUGUAAAUCUUAGAGAUAAUCAUUUUAAGAUAAAACAUAUCACUAACUUGAUUAAUUAUAUAUCUAU